GAUUGCACUCUGCAACUCGAGUGCAUGAAGGCGGAAUCGCUAGUAAUCGUGGAUCAGCAUGCCACGGUGAAUACGUUCCCGGGCCUUGUACACACCGCCCGUCACACCAUGGGAGUUGGUCUUACCCGACGGCGCUGCGCCAACCGCAAGGAGGCAGGCGACCACGGUAGGGUCAGCGACUGGGGUGAAGUCGUAACAAGGUAGCCGUAGGGGAACCUGCGGCUGGAUCACCUCCUUUCUAAGG
rnacentral:rRNA from 1 species